GACGAACGCUGGCGGCGUGCCUAAUACAUGCAAGUCGAACGCACAGCGAAAGGUGCUUGCACCUUUCAAGUGAGUGGCGAACGGGUGAGUAACACGUGGACAACCUGCCUCAAGGCUGGGGAUAACAUUUGGAAACAGAUGCUAAUACCGAAUAAAACUCAGUGUCGCAUGACACAAAGUUAAAAGGCGCUUUGGCGUCACCUAGAGAUGGAUCCGCGGUGCA
rnacentral:rRNA from 1 species